GACAGGCUCACACCGUAAGGCGUUGUCUGGCCAAAGAUGCUGACAAGGUGAAGUUUGAGAAAUGUUGCUUUAAUAGAAUUCCUUCAGUCUGCAGACUCCACACCCAUCCGCUCCAAACGGUGCUCUGUUACUGCCUCUCAGGGGAAAGGGUACCGUCAGCAUCUGUUGCAAUAACCUGUCACGGCCAGCAGAGGAGCUGAGGCAGCAGAACAUGAUGGGAGGAAUUUCUGUGCCAAAGAUGGGCCCCUUCAUCAGAAGCCAGGAACUCAACGGGAAUUAAAAGCAUGAUGUAAAAAGAAAUUGCUUUCUGGCUCCAGUUUCUACACUCUGGAGAGAGGAGACCAUGGAAGGACUAGGGGGUAAGCCUGAGUGGCCAGAGAAUCCUCUGGGAUUGGGGCAGGAGAAUCUGUCCACAUGCUCUCCCACAGGUUAAAGGAAAACAGGCAGGAACUCAGGGCUGGUUCUGCUUGCUUCCUUCUCCUCUGGGCCUCCUUCUCCAACCCAUAAGCCUCGUAACCAGUGUC
rnacentral:lncRNA from 1 species